UUUACAUCAACAAUAAAUUGGACAAGAAAUUGACCAAGUUAUUCAAGGCCAAAUUUGACGUGUAAAAGCACACUUUGACAUCUAAGUUUGUUCGUUAUAAACUUCACGUGAAGAAAUUGACGAAAAAGAAAAUUGUUCUAUUUUUUCAUUUUAUUCGGCGUGAAUUCAGUGUCACCAACCUGUGUCCAUUUGGCGGGAAGUGGAAGUAGAGCUUUUUGUUUAUUAUUAUUUGUUGAGGUUGAGUCUUUCAUGUUCAUGACAACCUAAAAAUUUUGAUUGGAAAAUGCAUAUAAGAUAAGGGGGUGGAAAAAUGGAAAUUAGUGGCUUUUUUUGCAGUUCUGUCUGUUAGUUUUGCGUUUUGCUCUGGCUGGGUCUCUUUUGUUUAAACAAUUAUAAUCAGCUGAAAGUGGUCUACAAAACAACCAGGAAGGAAACGUAUUAUAGCCUUGUUGUGGCUAUGAAAGGCAAAAGAAAGAUACCUAUAAAAAGUGUAUUGACUAGUUGGAAGAAACUCCACAUUGUCGAUGCAUAAUAAGAUAUUACUUUAUAAACAAAUAUCAAGACCUAGGAAUGGAACCUGGAUAAUAUAGUCAUCAAGAAGAUAGCAGGAAGUCAUGAGCAACAACAACUUCAUAAGUAUGAGAAUAUUGAGGAAAUCCAGCUCCUCAUAUCUACUACUGGACAAACUAGAAGAUUGAAGAGGACAAAGCCUUUUGAACUAGUUUGAGUGAUAAGUGAUAGUGAAAAGCAGAGCGUAGUGCUUGUGUGCCUGUGUAUGUUAGAAUAGUGCACGAUCUUGUUAGAUUAGAUAAGAGACGCUAUGGGGUAAGCUCUUCAUUUUAAGGAACAGUAGUAAUUUAGGUUAAAUUAAAAUUGCUCAUUGGUCAGUUAUGACCAGAUUGUAAUUCUCUGAUGUUUGGCAAAAAGGGCUUAAGUCAGAAUUGCACAUCAAUAAUGUUUUGAUGAUUUCUGGACCAUAAAAAAAGUGUUGCAGACUUAAACUGUAUGUACCAAUAAAAAGAGCCGAUUUUUCUGGUCCAGAAAUCAUCUAAACAUUAUCGAUGUGCAAUUCUGACUUAAGCCCUUUUUCCCAAACAUCAGAGAAUUGCAAUGUACAAUUCAAUACAAACGAAUCAUCAUCGUAGUGAUGAUUAUGGAAAAAAAUAUAUGACAAGAUUUUGUGCAAUAAAAAUGUUUAUAUUUA